GUGGGGAAUAUUGGGCAAUGGGCGGAAGCCUGACCCAGCGACGCCGCGUGGGGGAAGAAGUCUUUCGGGAUGUAAACCCUUGUUGUACGGGACGAAGGAAGUGACGGUACCGUACGAGGAAGCCCCGGCAAACUACGUGCCAGCAGCCGCGGUAAUACGUAGGGGGCGAGCGUUGUCCGGAAUCACUGGGCGUAAAGCGCACGUAGGCGGGCUGUCAAGUCGGCCGUGAAAGGCACGGGCUCAACCUGUGCAUGUCGGUCGAUACUGGCGGUCUGGAGUAUGGGAGAGGGAAGCGGAAUUCCCGGUGUAGCGGUGAAAUGCGUAGAUAUCGGGGGGAACACCAGUGGCGAAGGCGGCUUCCUGGCACAAUACUGACGCUCAUGUGCGAAAGCUAGGGCAGCGAACGGGAUUAGAUACCCUGGUAGUCC
rnacentral:rRNA from 1 species